rnacentral:rRNA from 1 species
AUUGAACGCUGGCGGCAGGCUUAACACAUGCGAGUCGAGCGGGGGAAGGUAGCUUGCUACUGGACCUAGCGGCGGACGGGUGAGUAAUGCUUAGGAAUCUGCCUAUUAGUGGGGGACAACAUCUCGAAAGGGAUGCUAAUACCGCAUACGUCCUACGGGAGAAAGCAGGGGAUCUUCGGACCUUGCGCUAAUAGAUGAGCCUAAGUCGGAUUAGCUAGUUGGUGGGGUAAAGGCCUACCAAGGCGACGAUCUGUAGCGGGUCUGAGAGGAUGAUCCGCCACACUGGGACCGAGACACGGCCCAGACUCCUACGGGAGGCAGCAGUGGGGAAUAUUGAACAAUGGGGGGAACCCUGAUCCAGCCAUGCCGCGUGUGUGAAGAAGGCCUUAUGGUUGUAAAGCACUUUAAGCGAGGAGGAGGCUACUCUAGUUAAUACCUAGGGAUAGUGGACGUUACUCGCAGAAUAAGCACCGGCUAACUCUGUGCCAGCAGCCGCCGUAA